rnacentral:rRNA from 1 species
AUUGAACGCUGGCGGCAUGCCUUACACAUGCAAGUCGAACGGCAGCACGGGAGCAAUCCUGGUGGCGAGUGGCGAACGGGUGAGUAAAGUAUCGGAACGUGCCCAGUCGUGGGGGAUAACGUAGCGAAAGUUACGCUAAUACCGCAUACGAUCUAUGGAUGAAAGCGGGGGAUCGCAAGACCUCGCGCGAUUGGAGCGGCCGAUAUCAGAUUAGGUAGUUGGUGGGGUAAAGGCUCACCAAGCCGACGAUCUGUAGCUGGUCUGAGAGGACGACCAGCCACACUGGGACGGAGACACGGCCCAGACUCCUACGGGAGGCAGCAGUGGGGAAUGUUGGACAAUGGGCGCAAGCCUGAUUCAGCCAUGCCGCGUGCAGGAUGAAGGCCUUCGGGUUGUAAGCUGCUUUUGUACGGAACGAAAAGGUUUGGCCUAAUAAGCUGAGCUCAUGACGGUACCGUAAGAAUAAGCACCGGCUAACUACGUGCCAGCCGCCGCCGUAACAC